GUGGAUUAGAUACCUCAGUAGUCCUGGCCCUAAACGAUGUCCACUAGAUCGCAGCACUUUUGACGGUGUUGUGGUCGAAGUAAAAAUGUUAAGUGGACCGCCUGGGAAGUACGGUCGCAAGGCUAAAACUCAAAGGAAUUGACGGGGGCUCACACAAGCGGUGGAGCAUGUGGUUCAAUUCGAAGCAACGCGCAGAACCUUACCUGGGUUUGACAUCCUUGGAUUAUCUCCAUGAAAGUGGAGUAGGCCCUUCGGGGUACAACUUGGACAGGUGCUGCAUGGUGGUCGCCAGCU
rnacentral:rRNA from 1 species